rnacentral:tRNA from 1 species
UGGGUUGUAGCUCAGUGGUAGAGCACUUGCCUCGCAUACUUGAGGCCCUGGGUUUGAUCCUCAGCACCACUU